GUGGGCUUCAUGCCUCUUUUCUUUUUCCAUUUAAGUUGUUGGGCCAAUAAUAAAAAAAACAGAUGGGCUGCAGAGUAUUAAAAGGAGACUUGGGCCAGUAUAUUUAUUUAAUUGUUGGGCUGAAAUAAUUGAUCCUUGGGCCAAAAUAAAUCAAAGAGGGAGAAGAGCAGUUGGGUCAGACGGAAUUAUUUUACGAAGGAGCUUGGGCUGAAAUUAAUUUAGUCUUAUGCUAGAAUUCUAAUUAAGUUCUUGGGCCAUGAUUAAUUAGGGCAUGCAUUCUAAUUCUAAUUAAAGUUUAAGAAUUUCUCGAGUCUUAUUAGUACAUUGUUUGUUUUCAAAAGGCUAUCUCUGCAAGUUAUGGGUGGAGUCAAGAAAAUUCAAGUAAGGAGUUUUAAGCGAACGAGGUUGAGCAGUGAUGACGGCGGGCGGUGUUGAACAUAGACGAUGAAGAUCCUUCGAUAGAAUAGUACUCGGAUGCGACGUGUCUCCAUACAUGACGUUAUAUGCUCUUGACUCUUCCGCUGCAAUGUAAAAGUCGAGUUUGCUCUCCUUGUAUCGUGCACUCUGAUAUAUAUUAUUUGAGUUAUUUCGGUUCAACU